rnacentral:pre_miRNA from 1 species
GAAGUACUCGCUCCGUCUCAAAAUUCUUGUCUUAGAUUUGUCUAGAUACGGAUACUAGACAAAUCCAAGACAAGAAUUUUGGGACGGAGGGAGUACAAG